rnacentral:rRNA from 1 species
UACGGGGGGAGCAAGCGUUGUUCGGAUUUACUGGGCGUAAAGGGCGCGUAGGCGACCAGCGCAAGUCAGUUGUGAAAUCUCCGGGCUUAACUCGGAACGGUCAACUGAUACUGCGCGGCUAGAGUGCAGAAGGGGCAACUGGAAUUCUCGGUGUAGCGGUGAAAUGCGUAGAUAUCGAGAGGAACACCUGCGGCGAAGGCGGGUUGCUGGGCUGACACUGACGCUGAUGCGCGAAAGCCAGGGGAGCGAACGGG